AGAUGGUAGAAUGGAACAGUAGUAUGAAGGUGGAUAAAGAUGGUAGAAUGGAACAGUAGUAUGAAGGUGGAUAAAGAUGGUAGAAUGGAACAGUAGUGUGAAGGUGGAUAAAGAUGGUAGAAUGGAACAGUAGUGUGAAGGUGGAUAAAGAUGGUAGAAUGGAACAGUAUGAAGGUGGAUAAAGAUGGUAGAAUGGAACAGUAGUGUGAAGAAGGUGGAUAAAGAUGGUAGAAUGGAACAGUAGUGUGAAGGUGGAUAAAGAUGGUAGAAUGGAACAGUAGUGUGAAGAAGGUGGAUAAAGAUGGUAGAAUGGAACAGUAGUGUGAAGAAGGUGGAUAAAGAUGGUAGAAUGGAACAGUAGUGUGAAGAAGGUGGAUAAAGAUGGUAGAAUGGAACAGUAGUGUGAAGAAGGUGGAUAAAGAUGGUAGAAUGGAACAGUAGUGUGAAGGUGGAUAAAGAUGGUAGAAUGGAACAGUAGUGUGAAGGUGGAUAAAGAUGGUAGAAUGGAACAGUAGUGUGAAGGUGGAUAAAGAUGGUAGAAUGGAACAGUAGUGUGAAGAAGGUGGAUAAAGAUGGUAGAAUGGAACAGUAGUAUGAAGGUGGAUAAAGAUGGUAGAAUGGAACAGUAGUGUGAAGGUGGAUAAAGAUGGUAGAAUGGAACAGUAGUGUGAAGAAGGCUGGAUAAAGAUGGUAGAAUGGAACACUAGUGUGAAGAAGGUGGAUAAAGAUGGUAGAAUGGAACAGUAGUGUGAAGAAGGUGGAUAAAGAUGGUAGAAUGGAACAGG
ensembl:lncRNA